rnacentral:rRNA from 1 species
CCUACGGGUGGCAGCAGUGAGGAAUAUUGGUCAAUGGACGAGAGUCUGAACCAGCCAAGUAGCGUGAAGGAUGACUGUCCUAUGGGUUGUAAACUUCUUUUAUAUGGGAAUAAAAUGUUCCACGUGUGGGCUUUUGUAUGUACCAUAUGAAUAAGGCUCGGCUAACUCCGUGCCAGCAGCCGCGGUAAUACGGAGGAUCCGAGCGUUAUCCGGAUUUAUUGGGUUUAAAGGGUGCGUAGGCGGAUUUUUAAGUCCGCGGUAAAAUGUCCGGGCUCAACCUCGCUCCGCCGUUGAAACUGGCGUUCUUGAGUGGGCGAGAAGUAUGCGGAAUGCGUGGUGUAGCGGUGAAAUGCAUAGAUAUCACGCAGAACUCCGAUUGCGAAGGCAGCAUACCGGCGCCCAACUGACGCUGAAGCACGAAAGCGUGGGUAUCGAACAGGAUUAGAUACCCCAGUAGUC